rnacentral:rRNA from 1 species
AGGAUGAACGCUGGCGGCGUGCCUAAUACAUGCAAGUCGAGCGAACGGACGAGAAGCUUGCUUCUCUGAUGUUAGCGGCGGACGGGUGAGUAACACGUGGAUAACCUACCUAUAAGACUGGGAUAACUUCGGGAAACCGGAGCUAAUACCGGAUAAUAUUUUGAACCGCAUGGUUCAAAAGUGAAAGACGGUCUUGCUGUCACUUAUAGAUGGAUCCGCGCUGCAUUAGCUAGUUGGUAAGGUAACGGCUUACCAAGGCAACGAUGCAUAGCCGACCUGAGAGGGUGAUCGGCCACACUGGAACUGAGACACGGUCCAGACUCCUACGGGAGGCAGCAGUAGGGAAUCUUCCGCAAUGGGCGAAAGCCUGACGGAGCAACGCCGCGUGAGUGAUGAAGGUCUUCGGAUCGUAAAACUCUGUUAUUAGGGAAGAACAUAUGUGUAAGUAACUGUGCACAUCUUGACGGUACCUAAUCAGAAAGCCACGGCUAACUACGUGCCAGCAGCCGCGGUAAUACGUAGGUGGCAAGCGUUAUCCGGAAUUAUUGGGCGUAAAGCGCGCGUAGGCGGUUUUUUAAGUCUGAUGUGAAAGCCCACGGCUCAACCGUGGAGGGUCAUUGGAAACUGGAAAACUUGAGUGCAGAAGAGGAAAGUGGAAUUCCAUGUGUAGCGGUGAAAUGCGCAGAGAUAUGGAGGAACACCAGUGGCGAAGGCGACUUUCUGGUCUGUAACUGACGCUGAUGUGCGAAAGCGUGGGGAUCAAACAGGAUUAGAUACCCUGGUAGUCCACGCCGUAAACGAUGAGUGCUAAGUGUUAGGGGGUUUCCGCCCCUUAGUGCUGCAGCUAACGCAUUAAGCACUCCGCCUGGGGAGUACGACCGCAAGGUUGAAACUCAAAGGAAUUGACGGGGACCCGCACAAGCGGUGGAGCAUGUGGUUUAAUUCGAAGCAACGCGAAGAACCUUACCAAAUCUUGACAUCCUUUGACAACUCUAGAGAUAGAGCCUUCCC